UGCAAGUCGAGCGGUAGCACAGAGAGCUUGCUCUCGGGUGACGAGCGGCGGACGGGUGAGUAAUGUCUGGGAAACUGCCUGAUGGAGGGGGAUAACUACUGGAAACGGUAGCUAAUACCGCAUAACGUCGCAAGACCAAAGUGGGGGACCUUCGGGCCUCAUGCCAUCAGAUGUGCCCAGAUGGGAUUAGCUGGUAGGUGGGGUAACGGCUCACCUAGGCGACGAUCCCUAGCUGGUCUGAGAGGAUGACCAGCCACACUGGAACUGAGACACGGUCCAGACUCCUACGGGAGGCAGCAGUGGGGAAUAUUGCACAAUGGGCGCAAGCCUGAUGCAGCCAUGCCGCGUGUGUGAAGAAGGCCUUCGGGUUGUAAAGCACUUUCAGCGGGGAGGAAGGCGGUGAGGUUAAUAACCUCAUCGAUUGACGUUACCCGCAGAAGAAGCACCGGCUAACUCCGUGCCAGCAGCCGCGGUAAUACGGAGGGUGCAAGCGUUAAUCGGAAUUACUGGGCGUAAAGCGCACGCAGGCGGUCUGUCAAGUCGGAUGUGAAAUCCCCGGGCUCAACCUGGGAACUGCAUUCGAAACUGGCAGGCUAGAGUCUUGUAGAGGGGGGUAGAAUUCCAGGUGUAGCGGUGAAAUGCGUAGAGAUCUGGAGGAAUACCGGUGGCGAAGGCGGCCCCCUGGACAAAGACUGACGCUCAGGUGCGAAAGCGUGGGGAGCAAACAGGAUUAGAUACCCUGGUAGUCCACGCUGUAAACGAUGUCGAUUUGGAGGUUGUGCCCUUGAGGCGUGGCUUCCGGAGCUAACGCGUUAAAUCGACCGCCUGGGGAGUACGGCCGCAAGGUUAAAACUCAAAUGAAUUGACGGGGGCCCGCACAAGCGGUGGAGCAUGUGGUUUAAUUCGAUGCAACGCGAAGAACCUUACCUGGUCUUGACAUCCACAGAACUUUCCAGAGAUGGAUUGGUGCCUUCGGGAACUGUGAGACAGGUGCUGCAUGGCUGUCGUCAGCUCGUGUUGUGAAAUGUUGGGUUAAGUCCCGCAACGAGCGCAACCCUUAUCCUUUGUUGCCAGCGGUUAGGCCGGGAACUCAAAGGAGACUGCCAGUGAUAAACUGGAGGAAGGUGGGGAUGACGUCAAGUCAUCAUGGCCCUUACGACCAGGGCUACACACGUGCUACAAUGGCAUAUACAAAGAGAAGCGACCUCGCGAGAGCAAGCGGACCUCAUAAAGUAUGUCGUAGUCCGGAUUGGAGUCUGCAACUCGACUCCAUGAAGUCGGAAUCGCUAGUAAUCGUAGAUCAGAAUGCUACGGUGAAUACGUUCCCGGGCCUUGUACACACCGCCCGUCACACCAUGGGAGUGGGUUGCAAAAGAAGUAGGUAGCUUAACCUUCGGGAGGGCGCU
rnacentral:rRNA from 1 species